AGCGUACGCUGGCGGCAGGCUUAACACAUGCAAGUCGAGCGGGCCUUUCGGGGUCAGCGGCGGACGGGUGAGUAACGCGUGGGAACGUGCCCUCUGGUUCGGAAUAACUCAGGGAAACUUGAGCUAAUACCGGAUACGCCCUUUUGGGGAAAGGCUUGCUGCCGGAGGAUCGGCCCGCGUCUGAUUAGCUAGUUGGUGAGGUAACGGCUCACCAAGGCGACGAUCAGUAGCUGGUCUGAGAGGAUGAUCAGCCACACUGGGACUGAGACACGGCCCAGACUCCUACGGGAGGCAGCAGUGGGGAAUAUUGGACAAUGGGCGCAAGCCUGAUCCAGCCAUGCCGCGUGAGUGAUGAAGGCCUUAGGGUUGUAAAGCUCUUUUAUCCGGGACGAUAAUGACGGUACCGGAGGAAUAAGCCCCGGCUAACUUCGUG
rnacentral:rRNA from 1 species